rnacentral:ncRNA from 1 species
AAGAAAAUUCCCCCGUCAUUUUGCCCGAAAGGACUCAAUUGAUGAGUAAUUAAUUGCAUGGAUGCAAUUAAAGCUGUGACUUCGCCAUGGAUGGCGAAUACACGGCGUUUACGUUUAUAUCAAUUUAAGCUUUGAGGAAAGUGCAAAAUGCUCGGGGCGCCGAGAG